GCCUACGGGACGCAGUAGUGGGGAAUAUUGCACAAUGGGGGAAACCCUGAUGCAGCGACGCCGCGUGAGUGAAGAAGUCAUUCGUGAUGUAAAGCUCUAUCAGCAGGGAAGAAAAUGACGGUACCUGACUAAGAAGCCCCGGCUAACUACGUGCCAGCAGCCGCGGUAAUACGUAGGGGGCAAGCGUUAUCCGGAUUUACUGGGUGUAAAGGGAGCGUAGACGGCAGCGCAAGUCCGAAGUGAAAGCCCGGGGC
rnacentral:rRNA from 1 species